rnacentral:sRNA from 1 species
UCUCCCCCAGCACUGAGGAGCUCGCCUGCUGCCCUCUUGCGCGCGGGAAGCAGCACCAAGUUCACGGCCAACGCCUAGGCACUAGGGUUUUGAAGAGAUAGGGGACACGCUCUAUGCCCCCUAUUCCACACAUUUUCAGCUGCAGAACCAGCCUCCCCAAAAGGAAUUCUCCAUCCCACGGGCCCACGCUUGGCCGAGCCCUUACAAAGACUAUGAAGUAAAGAAAGAGGGCAGCUAACUCUGUCCUGAAGAGUGGGACAAAUGCAGCCGGGCGGCAGAUCUAGCGGGAGCUCAAAGGGAUGUGGGCGAAAUCUUGAGUCUUCUGAGAAAACUGUACAAGACACUACGGGAACAGUUUGCCUCCCUCCCAGCCUCAACCACAAUUCUUCCAUGCUGGGGCUGAUGUGGGCUAGUAAGACUCCAGUUCUUAGAGGCGCUGUAGUAUUUUUUUUUUUUUUGUCUCAUCCUUAGGAUACUUCUUUUAAGUGGGAGUCUCAGGCAACUCAAGUUUAGACCCUUACUCUUUUUGUUUGUUUUUUGAAACAGGAUCUUGCUCUGUCACCCAGGCUUGAGUGCAGUGGCGCGAUCACAGCCCAGUGCAGCCUCGACCACCUGUGCUCAAGCAAUCCUCCCAUCUCCACCUCCCAAAGUGCUGGGAUGACAGGCGUGAGCCACAGCUCCCAGCCUAGGCCCUUAAUCUUGCUGUUAUUUUCCAUGGACUAAAGGUCUGGCCAUCUGAGUGCACGCUGGCUCACACAGCUCUAGGGGCCUGCUCCUCUAACUCACAGUGGGUUUUGUGAGGCUCUGUGGCCCAGAGCAGACCUGCAUAUCUG